GACGAACGCUGGCGGCGUGCUUAACACAUGCAAGUCGAACGGAAAGGCCCUGCUUUUGUGGGGUGCUCGAGUGGCGAACGGGUGAGUAACACGUGAGUAACCUGCCCUUGACUUUGGGAUAACUUCAGGAAACUGGGGCUAAUACCGGAUAGGAGCUCCUGCUGCAUGGUGGGGGUUGGAAAGUUUCGGCGGUUGGGGAUGGACUCGCGGCUUAUCAGCUUGUUGGUGGGGUAGUGGCUUACCAAGGCUUUGACGGGUAGCCGGCCUGAGAGGGUGACCGGCCAAAUUGGGACUGAGAGACGGCCCAGACCCCUACGGGGGGCAGAAGGGGGGAAAAUUGCAAAAGGGGGGGAAGCCUGAUGCAGAAACGCCGGGGGGGGGAGGAGGGCCUUGGGGUUGUAAACCGCUUUCGCUGGGAACGAAGGGGGGGGGACGGUAAGGGGUAAAGAAGCACCGGCUAACUAAGG
rnacentral:rRNA from 1 species